AUACUUGCAGGGUAAUUACUGAAGUGGAUUAAUUCCAAGUGAAUUGGGGAACUUAUCUUCACUUUAAUAUUUGGAUAUCUCAAGCAACUCUCUCAGUGGAUCUAUCCCUCCUUCAAUUGGAAUGCUAGAUAAGCUCGUUACAUUCAAUGUGUCCAACAAUUUUUUGGUUGGCCCUAUUCCAUCACAA